CUGCUGCCUUCCGUAGGAGUUUGGGCCGUGUCUCAGUCCCAAUGUGGCCGAUCAACCUCUCAGUUCGGCUACGCAUCAUUGCCUUGGUAAGCCUUUACCCCACCAACUAGCUAAUGCGCCGCGGGCCCAUCCAAAAGCGGUAGCAUAGCCACCUUUUACAUAGUUACCAUGCGGUAACUAUGGUUAUGCGGUAUUAGCACCUGUUUCCAAGUGUUAUCCCCCUCUUUUGGGCAGGUUGCCCACGUGUUACUCACCCGU
rnacentral:rRNA from 1 species